CAGCAGCCACGGUAAUACGUAGGGUGCGAGCGUUAAUCGGAAUUACUGGGCGUAAAGCGUGCGCAGGCGGUUAUAUAAGACAGAUGUGAAAUCCCCGGGCUCAACCUGGGAAUGGCAGUGGAUACUGGCAAGCUAGAGUGUGUCAGAGGAUGGUGGAAUUCCCGGUGUAGCGGUGAAAUGCGCAGAGAUAUGGAGGAACACCAGUGGCGAAGGCGACUUUCUGGUCUGUAACUGACGCUGAUGUGCGAAAGCGUGGGGAUCAAACAGGAUUAGAUACCCCUGUAGUCCCUGUCUCUUAUAC
rnacentral:rRNA from 1 species